rnacentral:rRNA from 1 species
UACGAAGGGGGCUAGCGUUGUUCGGAUUUACUGGGCGUAAAGCGCACGUAGGCGGAUUGUUAAGUGAGGGGUGAAAUCCCAGGGCUCAACCCUGGAACUGCCUUUCAUACUGGCAAUCUCGAGUCCGGAAGAGGUGAGUGGAACUCCUAGUGUAGAGGUGGAAUUCGUAGAUAUCAGGAAGAACACCCGUGGCGAAGGCGGCUCUCUGGAACGCAACUGACGCUGAGACGCGAAAGCGUGGGGAGCAAACAGG